rnacentral:ncRNA from 1 species
UUGAAUAUCACUCAUUCUUUUCGUAUAACCCUGACAAUACGGGUCGGGGGUCUCUACAAGGAACCCUAACAUUCCUGGCUACGAAGGUAGAUUUAGUCUAC